GGUUCACUUUAAACCUGACACAUUAAAACCACCACCUUCCACUGAAACCAUUCUCUUCCGAGCAGAAGCCGGCGGGCCACAGGGCGAGCCGUGACUGGAAUCCAGGACACUGAGAGAUGGCUGCCCACCGGGUGAUGAGUGACUACGAGCAGUUCCCAGGGAUAAAGAGCCUCUGGUCUGGGACCCCAGCAUCCUACAUCCUCUCACCCGCCACACUUUUAGACACCCUACAAUCAUCCUCUCCAGCUGGCCCCACAGGCCCAGCGUGCUGUGCUUUCCUUUUGCAGAAACUGGCGCUUGCUCCAGGGGCGCUAGCGUGUCCCGACCGAGCUCGAGCUCGUGCAGAGGACCCACAGAAAGGAGUCUGAGCCCAGGUUUCAAAGCUCAAACUCCGUCCACUAGAGCUACUUUAUUUCCUAGCUGCCCUAGAGAAUCCUCAGUAUCCUUUCUGGAAACAAAACGUGAAGCCUACACUGGAAGAGUCAGGGAGGAGUACAAUAGGAAGGAGUCCCACAAGAGCGGCCCGCGGGGGUCUUCACAGACCUGCCCGGCCCCCAGAGGUGACUCCUGUGGCCAGCAGGAGGGGGACCCGGCACCACACAGGCUUAAUGCUGGCGGAUUCCUGGCGGAGGCGGAGAGAACACUGACAACACGGGGGGGAAAUGGUUAUCAAUCAGUUAAUGUCGCCCUGGGUUGCAAAAACCAGACGUGGCUGUGCUCAGCCCUGUUUGUCGUUACCCUGUCGGAAGUGACAGCACGGGAAAGGCGGGCAGCUCCUUGGAUCGCUGAAACUAGGCGCUGUGCUUGCAGAUUGGCUCCCAUAAACCGAGUGAAAGUGUUUCUUGCACAGGUAAACGUUUUCUCUCAGUAA
ensembl:lncRNA